rnacentral:tRNA from 1 species
GGGGUGUGGCGGAAUAGGUAGACGCAACGGACUUAAAAUCCGUUGGGCAGUGAUGCCCGUGUGGGUUCAAGUCCCACCUCCCCC